AGAUUGAACGCUGGCGGCAUGCCUUACACAUGCAAGUCGAACGGCAGCACGGGAGCAAUCCUGGUGGCGAGUGGCGAACGGGUGAGUAAUAUACCGGAACGUGCCCAGUCGUGGGGGAUAACGCAGCGAAAGCUGUGCUAAUACCGCAUACGAUCUAUGGAUGAAAGCGGGGGAUCGCAAGACCUCGCGCGAUUGGAGCGGCCGAUAUCAGAUUAGCUAGUUGGUGGGGUAAAAGCCUACCAAGGCGACGAUCUGUAGCUGGUCUGAGAGGACGACCAGCCACACUGGAACUGAGACACGGUCCAGACUCCUACGGGAGGCAGCAGUGGGGAAUUUUGGACAAUGGGCGCAAGCCUGAUCCAGCAAUGCGCGUGCAGGAUGAAGGCCUUGGUGUAAACUGCUUUUGUACGGAACGAAACGGUUCUCUCUAAUACAGGGCUAAGUGACGGUACCGUAAGAAUAAGCAACCGGCUAACUACGUAGCCAACG
rnacentral:rRNA from 1 species